rnacentral:tRNA from 1 species
GGGUAUAUAGCUCAGUGGUAGAGCGUGUGCUUAGCAUGCACAAGGGCCUGGGUUCAAUCCCCAGCACCUCCA